rnacentral:rRNA from 1 species
UGGGGAAUAUUGCACAAUGGGCGCAAGUCUGAUGCAGCCAUGCCGCGUGUAUGAAGAAGGCCUUCGGGUUGUAAAGUACUUUCAGCGGGGAGGAAGGGAGUAAAGUUAAUACCUUUGCCCAUUGACGUUACCCGCAGAAGAAGCACCGGCUAACUCCGUGCCAGCAGCCGCGGUAAUACGGAGGGUGCAAGCGUUAAUCGGAAUUACUGGGCGUAAAGCGCACGCAGGCGGUUUGUUAAGUCAGAUGUGAAAUCCCCGGGCUCAACCUGGGAACUGCAUCUGAUACUGGCAAGCUUGAGUCUCGUGGAGGGGGGUAGAGUUCCAGGUGUAGCGGUGAAAUACGUAGAGAUCUGGAGGAAUACCGGUGGCGAAGGCGGCCCCCUGGACGAAGACUGACGCUCAGGUGCGAAAGCGUGGGGAGCAAACAGG